rnacentral:rRNA from 1 species
CCUACGGGUGGCAGCAGUGAGGAAUAUUGGUCAAUGGGCGGGAGCCUGAACCAGCCAAGUCGCGUGAGGGAAGAAGGUACUGAGUAUUGUAAACCUCUUUUGCCAGGGGACAAAGGCGGCCACGGGUGGCCGUAAGAGGGUACCUGGAGAAAAAGCAUCGGCUAACUCCGUGCCAGCAGCCGCGGUAAUACGGAGGAUGCGAGCGUUAUCCGGAGUUAGUGGGUUUACAGGGUGCGCAGGUGGCGUGUCAAGGCAGCGGUAAAAUGUCGGGGCUCCACCCCGGCCGGCCGUUGAAACUGGCGUGCUCGAGUUUGCGAGACGUAUGCGGACUUCGUGGUGUAGCGGU